UAAUUUUGUUUGAAAAUGACAGAAAAUCACCGCUUACCAUCACAUUGAGAAAAUCUCUUCCGUUAAGAUAACAAACAACGUUUCCAACAUAUCGAUGCUAAUUAAUAGCAAUAUGGAAUAUGGAACCUAGACAGUCUCAAUGACGCGUAAUAUUGUGGAUUUGAAAUCUGAUGUUAUUAUUACCGGGAUUCGAUAUUUAUAUAUCAUUAAAAAUA